rfam:Ictidomys tridecemlineatus contig039917, whole genome shotgun sequence.
GGGGUUAUGGCUCAGCGGUAGAGCGCUCACCUGUCUCGUGUGAGGCCCUGGGUUCAAUCCUCAGAACUACA